GCGCCUCUAGCUCAAUUGGCAGAGCAGCGGGCUCUUAACCCGACGGUUGGGGGUUCGACUCCCCCGGGGCGCACCA
rnacentral:tRNA from 1 species